rnacentral:rRNA from 1 species
UACGUAGGUGACAAGCGUUGUCCGGAUUUACUGGGCGUAAAGAGCGCGCAGGCGGUCGUUCAAGUCGAGUGUGAAAGCCCCCGGCUCAACUGGGGAGGGUCACUCGAUACUGAUCGACUGGAAGGCAGGAGAGGGAAGCGGAAUUCCCGGUGUAGUGGUGAAAUGCGUAGAUAUCGGGAGGAACACCAGUGGCGAAGGCGGCUUCCUGGCCUGUUCUUGACGCUGAGGCGCGAAAGCGAGGGGAGCAAACGGG